UACGUAGGUCCCGAGCGUUGUCCGGAUUUAUUGGGCGUAAAGCGAGCGCAGGUGGUUUAUUAAGUCUGGUGUAAAAGGCAGUGGCUCAACCAUUGUAUGCAUUGGAAACUGGUAGACUUGAGUGCAGGAGAGGAGAGUGGAAUUCCAUGUGUAGCAGUGAAAUGCGUAGAUAUAUGGAGGAACACCGGUGGCGAAAGCGGCUCUCUGGACUGUAACUGACACUGAGGCACGAAAGCGUGGGGAGCAAACAGG
rnacentral:rRNA from 1 species